UUAAGCAUAUCAAUAAGCGGAGGAAAAGAAACUAACAAGGAUUCCCCUAGUAACGGCGAGUGAAGUGGGAAAAGCUCAACUUUGUAAUCUGGCUCUUUCAGAGUCCGAGUUGUAGUCUCGAGAAGCAUCAUCCGCGCCGGACCUUGGAUAUGUCUGUUGGAAAACAGCGUCAUAGAGGGUGACAAUCCCGUUUGUGCCAAGGACGCCCGUGUGCAUUGCGGUGUGCUUUCUAAGAGUCGAGUUGUUUGGGAAUGCAGCUCAAAUUGGGUGGUAAAUUCCAUCUAAAGCUAAAUAUUGGCGAGAGACCGAUAGCGAACAAGUACCGUGAGGGAAAGAUGAAAAGCACUUUGGAAAGAGAAUGAAACAGUAUGUGAAAUUGCUGGAAGGGAAACGUUUGAAGUUAGACUUGCUUUUGUCACAUUCAGCCUUUUAGGUGUACUUGUGGCUUGUGCAGGCCAGCAUCGGUUUGCUUUGCGGUAUAAGGGUGCAUGGGAUGUAGCUGCCUCGGCAGUGUUAUAAACUUGCACUGGAUGCCGAAUCGCAGACCGAGGUUCGCAGCGCGCCUUUUUUGGCAAUGGGCUUGCCCAUCGAGCGCUUAGGAUGCUGGUAGAAUAGCUUUAACCGACCCG
rnacentral:rRNA from 1 species